ensembl:lncRNA
AUGCAACAUAGACAUUGCACAGUAAACAACAUCUCAAAUUGAACUUCAAGAAUGAAAAGCACUGUGUUUGACUCCUUAGUUGUCCAGUCAGAUGUUCAGUCCCUGCUGAAGCCAAACAUCUACAAGCCAACAGUCUUGCCAAUGGUCACCUUGCCAACAGUCUUGCCAACAGCCAUGCCAACCCUACCUUCCUACUGACGAGACAUGGCUCAGACAGGCUGAGUCCGUCCACACCUUGUCCCAGCCUCUCCACCAGGCACCCUGUCUUCUGUCCCACAGUUCAACCCCCUCCUUACAUAGCCCAGCAGAGACAGGCUCUAUCCCAGCCACAACCCUCUCUCCAGCCCCAGCCCCAACCCCUCUCCAGCCCCAGCCCCAACCCUCUCUCCAGCCCCAGCCCCAACCCUCUCUCCAGCCCCAACCCUCUCUCCAGCCCCAGCCCCAACCCCCUCUCCAGCACCAGCCUCAACCCUCUCUCCAGCCCCAGCCUCAACCCUUCCUCCAGCCCCAACCCUCUCUCCAGCCUCUGCCGCAGCCCAAGCCUAAACCUCCUCCCAUCCCCAGCCACCUAGCCCAGCAGAAAGGACCCCUACAGGCCCUUCCUCCAGCCAUCAAGCCCCCCAGCCGCCAGUCCUCCCCCUCAACACCUCACACACACAGACCUGACCCUCCCAACAGACCCCCACCCCCCUGCCCGCUCUCCAAACCCCAAAUAUCAUCAGAUGUGUUACAGAGAGGAAAGUCCAAUCUGGCGCCACCUGGUGGACAGAAGAAACCCAGCAGAUCCCAAAACAUGAUCUCAGGGAGGAGAUGAGGAUCAACACUGGAACCCUGAGCUCAGUGAGAUUACUGGACAUCUAACUGGGUAUCUCUUCUCUCUCUGUGAGCUGGAUGUUUUUCCACCUGUGUCCAAAGAAGACCAUCAGCCUUUAUGAAGAACAUGACACUGUGGGAAAGGAGAGAGGAGGGCCACAGCUGGACACACAGGGUCUCAGUCCAAAAUGGCAACCUAAAAGUACUACACUAUAUAGGGAAUAUGGCUCCAUUUCAGACCUGUCCAGGGAAGCCUCCUCUGUUGGCCCAUCUCAGUGUUUUUAUUUCAUUCCAACAACAAAGACAAAGGAGUUGCCUGAUUAAGAAAUAUCUCUGGCUACUAGGCUAGAUGCCAGGCUAUGUCUUGCCUUACCUCUUGAAACCAGGUCUCCUGUAUACUUGUAAUAUUUAAGACUGGACUUUAUCGACUCAUUUAGUUCUUGUGGAUGCUACCGUAUACCAUGGGUUAACAGUAUCAUGUAUUGAUAUGCUGUUUCAGGUGUAUUUAUUUGCAAAGCUUCAGAGCAAAGAAACUGGUGUUUAAAGUCAAUGUACUGUAUAUGGUUUCUACAGGAGCACGAGUCUGAAGCGAACGUCUUAUAUUACGACAACGCCACGCACAGAAUGAUGCUUAAUGCUUCUAGUAUGUGAAUAAACGAUAGGCUGGCCUAAGACGAGGGACAUCUCAAAUGUUGCAGUAGCUAUUAGAAAAGUAUAUAUUGUUUUGGUAAGACUUUGUGUUUUUUUAAAAAUGUUUUGUAUAUUGUACUGUUCUUGUUGUGUUGGGUGCUAAAUUCAGGUCUUCUGACUGACUGAAUGAAUGUAUAUUUGUACACCUUGAAGGUUAAUUGUUCCUGUUUAACUACCUACAAGUAUGUUAUCUUUUGAAAUGUGAUGCAUAGGACAGCAGAAUCAACCCAGUUAUAGUCAAGCCCCUAAAAUCUAUGUAUAUCAAAUAAUCUGAUUUUCUUUAGAUUUAUUGUUGAAAUUCACCAUCUACCAUCGGACCUAUGCAAACAGUGGUGCCUUCAGUUUGAUUUUAAAUAAACUGUUUCAAAACAGGAUUAC